rnacentral:rRNA from 1 species
GGGGAAUAUUGCGCAAUGGGCGAAAGCCUGACGCAGCGACGCCGCGUGAGGGAUGAAGGUCUUCGGAUCGUAAACCUCUGUCAGAAGGGAAGAAACUAGGGUGCUCUAAUCAUCAUCCUACUGACGGUACCUUCAAAGGAAGCACCGGCUAACUCCGUGCCAGCAGCCGCGGUAAUACGGAGGGUGCAAGCGUUAAUCGGAAUCACUGGGCGUAAAGCGCACGUAGGCUGUUAUGUAAGUCAGGGGUGAAAUCCCACGGCUCAACCGUGGAACUGCCCUUGAUACUGGACGACUUGAAUCCGGGAGAGGGUGGCGGAAUUCCAGGUGUAGGAGUGAAAUCCGUAGAUAUCUGGAGGAACAUCAGUGGCGAAGGCGGCCACCUGGACCGGUAUUGACGCUGAGGUGCGAAAGCGUGGGGAGCAAACA